AUGCAACGGGGACGUCCCGGGGCUGGGACCCCCCCCGUGGCCUCGUUAGCACCUUCGUUAACGGUGGCCGUGCCGCCAGCCCUUGGCACGGGGUGGCACCUUAUGGGAUGGGUCAGGGGACAGGGACUUGGGGACACGGGGAUGUCCCCAAGGGUGUCCCCAGGGGCGCCGCACGGUGACGGAGCUGCGGGAGCGGCAGAGCAGAGGAAGGAAUUUGGGGUGUCCCCCGUGUCCCGGUCCCCCAUGUCCCUCCCAGUCCACUGCCGUGUCCAGUGUCCCUGUCCCCAUCCAUCCCAUGUCCCCCCAGUGCACCUCCUUGUCCCUGUCCCCCAUCCUUUCCCACAUCCCCGUGCCCCGUGUCGCUCCCCAUCCAUCCCCAUGUCCCCCGUGUCCCCCCCAAUCCUCCCCCUUGUCCCUGUCCCCACGUCCNNNNNNNNNNNNNNNNNNNNNNNNNNNNNNCCCCACGCCCCUCCCAACCCCUCCCUGCACCCCCACGUCCCCCCCACGUGCCCCAUGUCCCCGUGGCCCCGUCCCCACACUGCUGACCACGCAGGAAACGCCCUUUGUGCAGCCCCAGCGAGGCCACGGCCGUGGGGAGAUAAGGAAUUCCUGCUGCCCGCCCCAACAACACCGGGGGGGGGUGGCCUUGGGGACGAGGAACCGUGCAUGGGGACGACGGAGCCGUGGGGCGCCGCGUGGGUUCCCCCUUCCCGGAAGGGACAAGGGGACGCAACCCCGUGGUGGCCCUGCUUGGGGACAGGGCCACGUGGUUUCCGCGGUCCCGGCGCAAUUCUUAUAAAGCCAGCAGGGUUUUUGCUGUGGGAUGCAGAAGUGAAACCCCGGGAGCUGGCCCCGGACUUUCCUCCGUCGCCAGCGCCAAGACAAACCCCAGGGGACACGGGGGUGACAGUGCCAGCGGCGUGGGCUGCGCUUUGUCCCCAGGUCAGCGUUGGGUAUGGCUUGGAGGCGUUUCUCAACCUGAGGCUUUUGUCCCCAAAGGAAAACUUUGGAAAGCCAACGGCCCCCGCCGUGCCAAAAGCCGGGGCGGCCGCAUCCUGGCUCCCCAGUGCCGAUGGGGUCUGGCCGCCCUCCCGGCUCCUCGUGGUGAGAAAAAGGCUUCGCUUCCACAAAAACACGAAGAGAAAAAAAGGAAGAGGAGUGCGCGGGAGGGAGAGUUUCACUGCUUCUCCUCAUGCAUUUGGGAUGAGGUCACUGUUCCGAUACUGA
rnacentral:lncRNA from 1 species